rnacentral:rRNA from 1 species
GAUCAUGCUCAGAUUGAACGCUGGCGGCAGGCCUAACACAUGCAAGUCGAGCGGUAGCACAGAGAGCUUGCUCUCGGGUGACGAGCGGCGGACGGGUGAGUAAUGUCUGGGAAACUGCCUGAUGGAGGGGGAUAACUACUGGAAACGGUAGCUAAUACCGCAUAAUGUCGCAAGACCAAAGUGGGGGACCUUCGGGCCUCAUGCCAUCAGAUGUGCCCAGAUGGG